GACAGAUGAAGCAAUUUUAUUUUUGAACUAUGGGUAGACAGAAUACUGGAUACAGGUGGCUGUUGCUAUUUUGAGCUUGAUUCUGGUGACAGGAUAUGGCAAGUUGCUUCAGUCUUUGUAUAUCAUUAAUCGUCAAGAACACAUGUCACUCAGUGAGCUGCUCAGCUACCUCAGGGUAGGAGGUAGCUGGAGAUCUUAAGGGUACAUGAGGAAGGAAGAAUAAUGCCCCCACACUGCUAUAGAUGUCCAA
rnacentral:lncRNA from 1 species